CCGCAUUGCCAUCUUAUGAAUAUUACGAGAAGGGUCUCUCGAGAACACAAGUCGAGCCUUGACCUGGUGUCCCUUCGGAAGUGCCUUUCUGGGCAUGCGCUGGCUAAAGCCUCAGCCACCUCCCCUGAUUCUUCCCUAAAGGCGCAAACUCACCCUCUGACUCCCCUGUGCAAUGACAGGCUAAGCCACACACCCAAAGCCAAAAAAAAUUGAUAGGUCUUAUUUCCACAAGGGAUGCUCCCUUGGAUGAUGGCUACUCUGAGGCCACUGCUGAAGGAGAAACUGCUCCAAAGCAGUAGCAACAUUGUUAGGAAGAAUCAUCUUUAUCGCAAAGAAGAGAUGUAAGAACAAACAUUUCCCUGCUACUUUAUGGAGUGUGUACAUAUCAAGAGCAGUAACUUGCAACUUCUGCAACCAGAAAAACACAGGGUGAGACUGAGUAGGAGACAUAUUUACCUGGCACGUCACUGGCAGAGGAAAGAAGUAGCAGAGGACACAGGUUUCUAAGUUAAAGGAGGAAACUGAUGCUACAUUUCAGAAAAGAUCAAUACUAAAAUUAAAAUGAAGGCUCUAGUCAAUGGAAAGAAUUGGCAAAUAAAUUCACUGAUAAAAGGCACAGUACCUCCAAGUGCUCAUGGAUUGUACCAUCUUCAUGCUCUUUUAGAAAGUA